rnacentral:lncRNA from 1 species
ACCCAGAAACAUGCAAAGUGAAAAGUGUCCGUCUCCUUCCCCAAAUUUGCAAAGAAUUCAAUCUGUAAACCACCAUAUUCCUGCCGCCAAAGUCUUUCCCCCACCGUCGCAGCAAGUUCUUGAAACACCCCCAUGAAUGCUUGGUUUUGUCUUUUCCCAAAUUCUGCCCAAAGUUCCCAGAUAAGAUAUGGGAUAUAUUAUAUAUAUUCUUGCUUCAAUUUUCAACAAUAACUGAGAAGAGGGAAAUUCUAUAUCUAAGCCAACCCUAUGAUAAUUAUAAAACUAUAAUUUCAAAACAUACUAGAAAAAUCUAUGCCAAUAUCAAGUUACUAGCUGUGAAAGUUGACAUCUGGAGAGUUUCUACAGCCGAGCUUCUGAUAGCUACAAUGACAUUAAAAUUUUGCAUCGUAGCUAAUUCAAAAAUAAAUAUUACUGCAUGGGCUUGAUGAAGUGGCAUGAAACUCACAUCAAAAUCAAUCAGAUAGUUGGUAUUUUUCACUGUACCUUGCAUUGACAAUAGAGUUUAUAGUUUCCGAUUCUUGUGGGCUGAGUUCCUUAUUUCUCGUACUUUUUGUUACCUUCAUAACAAAACGUAAUUAUGUGCCGUUUUUCUCGAGUGCCUUCACCGGUUAAUUUCUUGACAAAACCCAUUAUAAUCCAAGAAAUCAGAAGCCCAUCCAAUUGAUAACUCGCUUAACCAAACGACCACCCUUGGGUUGUACAAAAUCGGGUCCUCGACUUAUAUUGAGGGAUCGGGUCGGACCAUAGCGCCGGCUGAGAGAUCAAG